rnacentral:rRNA from 1 species
AUGAACCUAAUGAUCGGCAGCAGCAGCAGCUCUAGCCUGCUCCAGGAUCCUCACCAGCGGCUUGCAGCCGCACCGUUGUGCUUCGUCGAGCGGGGUGUUGCCCCACCUGUCUGCGGCCACAAGGUCAGCACCAAACUCCACCAGCAUCCCAGCGACGAGGUGCAGGCCCUCGCUGGCGGCUACGUGGAGCGGCGUCCUCCGGUCGUAGUUCCUGCAGUUGGGGUCGAUGCCGAACCUGAGCAGCCUCCUCAGCAGGUCGAUCUUGCCCUGGGCGACCACCCUGCACAGGUUCACGUACCAAGGAGGUCCUCCCGUCGUAAUCCGGUUUACUCGGAUCUGCUCCUGCACCGAUCAAGCCUUUCAACCGAAACAAAUCUCCAUGGUAGGCAGCAUUGUUGA